rnacentral:rRNA from 1 species
CCUACGGGUGGCAGCAGUGGGGGAUAUUGCACAAUGGGGGAAACCCUGAUGCAGCGACGUCGCGUGGGUGAAGAAGCGCCUCGGCGCGUAAAGCCCUGUCAGCAGGGAAGAAAAUGACGGUCCCUGAAGAAGAAGCCCCGGCUAACUACGUGCCAGCAGCCGCGGUAAUACGUAGGGGGCAAGCGUUAUCCGGAUUUACUGGGUGUAAAGGGGGCGCAGACGGCGAUGCAAGCCAGGGGUGAAAGCCCGGGGCCAAACCCCGGGACUGAUCUUGGAACUGCGUGGCUAGAGUGCAGGAGGGGCAGGCGGAAUUCCUGGUGUAGCGGUGAAAUGCGUAGAUAUCAGGAGGAACACCGGUGGCGAAGGCGGCCUGCUGGACUGCAACUGACGUUGAGGCCCGAAAGCGUGGGGAGCAAACAGGAUUAGAUACCCCUGUAGUC